CAUGCUAGAAACCCCUCAUGCAGAAGAGAGAGAUACCGUGAGCACAAAGCAGUGAGGAGGCAGUUAGCCGUUGGAAGGGUCAGGAGACCAACCGACUUCACUUGCGGAGGAGAGAUGAGACUGAGCAGUAGCACUGGAGGAGACCGGGACACGCAGGGACCCUAGCCGCAAAUACGAUAAGGAGCAGACCGGAGAGUACAGAGGCAGUGCAAGGCACCAGAGUGCGGAGACAGCCACAUAUGCCGGAGUGUAAGUACUCACCCCUGAUUGCCCGACCAUCAGUGCAGAGCCCGGUGUGACGGCUGCCAUUAGUAAAGUGCGUCAAGUGAGAGGAGCCGACGGCAGAGAGGGAUAGGGCUCCGAGACAGUGGCCGAAGGAAGGACCUGGAGAGGCAGCAUAACACAAGAGGAGGAGUCGGGGGAGUGACUACGCAUUAGACGAGCAAGUUGAAAGGAGACUUGGAUACUAUAAGAGAAAACAGGUAUACCCUGGAAAGACAUGAUGCAUAUUAUUUCCAUGUGACUAGUACACUCCCUGCUGUACGGUGUAUUAUGUCCUGUCUGACACCCAGCACAUUAUAUGGGAAGAUGCGAUGAAUGUGUGUAAACCAGAUUGUGCUCACACACUACACAAUGGGGGUUCCAGUUACAAUCCCGACAAGAUACCGGCUGCAAAAUCCCGAAAGGUGACAGGACACUGACGCUGGAAUUCUAACUGUUGGGAUCUCGAUCAUCUACACAUUGAGUUUACACCGUACCACCUAGAAGGAAGAAAUUGAACAGAGCGGAGCAAGUGGCUAAAGCCAUGUCAAAUGUCCUUGUCGACCAACUCCGAGAGAUGGACGCUACAAUGUCCGCACAGGAGGAUGCUAGGCUCGACAGGUUUCUAGAGGCAGAACGCAAAAUGCAUGAUGCAUUCCUUUCCCAAGUCAUGACAAUGCAGGAACGCAUGAGUAGAGAGCAGUAUGACCGCCACAGGGAAUUGCACCAAAUGAACAUGGCGUUCUAUGAGCGUAUGACCAAUACCUCAAGAGCACAAAACCAACACCACAACUCACAAUACCCCCCUGAGCAGGGUUUUUCAUCAUUUAAUCCUGGUCCAUACUAUGCCCCAAAUACUGCACCAUCUAGUGCGCAAAGCCCAGAAUUUACUGUAUUGCGCAAUUUGCCGUGAAACGCAGUGAAUUUCUUUUGUGUGUUAUUUGUUGUUAAAUAACCAGUGUGGUCAUUGUUUAUGCAUAACUGUAUGUGCCUUCUUUAAUUUUUUUUCUAUGUUCUGUUUUGAUUAGUGUCUACAUUAAAGCACUUUUUAUUUAUUUUUUACACAGUAAUAAUAUACUGCAGGGACACUGUGGUUUAUGGUGUUGUAUCUACAAACCUACCAGUGUUUUUUUUUUUUUUAUGCCAAUCAAAACU